UAAUUUUUAAAACAUCUGAUAUACCAUGAUCACACGGUGGUUUUUCCAGGACGAGCACACCCAUUGCACUCCAGAUGUGCUGACUCCUGCAAAAUCCCCAAAGGAGGGAAACUUGACUGUAGAAUUUGUGGUAGUGGGGACUGUGUCUUUGCACUUUCCCCUA